AAGGAUGAUCCUUCAGCGAGCUCACGCUCACUAUCGGAUCGUUUUAGAAACAUCAGUGGCCAACAGAUCGCCAGAUCGUUGAGCUGCAUUGGCGGGAUUUCGCCGUCUUCGUUUCUCUUUCUUCGCGGACGAACACGCGCUGGGCCUGCAUCAAGCAGGAUCCCACGGUCCCUGACGGGAUAUGCGUUAGGGGCUUGUAGCUCAGUUGGUUAGAGCGCGCGCUUGAUAAGCGUGAGGUCGGAAGUUCAAGUCUUCCCAGGCCCACCACUUUCAUCGAGUGAGCAUUCGUCUUCUGGUUACGGGGCCAUAGCUCAGCUGGGAGAGCGCGUGCUUUGCAAGCAUGAGGUCGUCGGUUCGAUCCCGUCUGGCUCCACCAGAUGGUUUGAUCAUCGAGAUCUUGCACCGUCGUCCGCGAAACAUCACUUCGCAUCCUGCUAGUCUGGAUAGACAGCAAGAUGCGUGUUUUCUGACAUCGUAAAGAGGAGAUCGAUCCGAGUUGGGUCGUGCAGCAGAUCGUUGCGCGAAUCCUUCAUUAUCUCCGGAUCAUUUUCGGCGCUCGCUUUCAGCCGUGAGGUUGAAUGCGAGUUGUAAAAUGAUCCUUUUAGCGAAGCUUGACCGCCUCGCUAUCGGAACGAUCUUACGAAGCAAGCUGGUCUUUCUAGUCAAUGUCCGGCUGCACGUAGCAUUCAUCGAGGGUGCGCGCCGUAAGGCAAUCGUGCAGACAACAUUCUGCCGAGUGUGUGGACAUUGAUAAUGAGAGCAAUCAAGUGCCUUAAGGGUGUUCGGUGGAUGCCUUGGCGCUGAGAGGCGAUGAAGGACGUGCUACGCUGCGAUAAGCC
rnacentral:misc_RNA from 1 species